GUGGACGCCAGUCUGCGUGGAGCCGACCUUGAAAUACCACCCUUUAAUGUUUGAUGUUCUAACGUGGACCCGUAAUCCGGGUUGCGGACAGUGUCUGGUGGGUAGUUUGACUGGGGCGGUCUCCUCCUAAAGAGUAACGGAGGAGCACGAAGGUUGGCUAAUCCUGGUCGGACAUCAGGAGGUUAGUGCAAUGGCAUAAGCCAGCUUGACUGCGAGCGUGACGGCGCGAGCAGGUGCGAAAGCAGGUCAUAGUGAUCCGGUGGUUCUGAAUGGAAGGGCCAUCGCUCAACGGAUAAAAGGUACUCCGGGGAUAACAGGCUGAUACCGCCCAAGAGUUCAUAUCGACGGCGGUGUUUGGCACCUCGAUGUCGGCUCAUCACAUCCUGGGGCUGAAGUAGGUCCCAAGGGUAUGGCUGUUCGCCAUUUAAAGUGGUACGCGAGCUGGGUUUAGAACGUCGUGAGACAGUUCGGUCCCUAUCUGCCGUGGGCGCUGGAGAACUGAGGGGGGCUGCUCCUAGUACGAGAGGACCGGAGUGGACGCAUCACUGGUGUUCGGGUUGUCAUGCCAAUGGCACUGCCCGGUAGCUAAAUGCGGAAGAGAUAAGUGCUGAAAGCAUCUAAGCACGAAACUUGCCCCGAGAUGAGUUCUCCCUGAGACUUAGAGUCUCCUGAAGGAACGUUGAAGACGACGACGUUGAUAGGCCGGGUGUGUAAGCGCAGCGAUGCGUUGAGCUAACCGGUACUAAUGAACCGUGAGGCUUAACCUU
rnacentral:rRNA from 1 species